UACGUAGGGUGCGAGCGUUGUCCGGAAUUAUUGGGCGUAAAGGGCUCGUAGGCGGUUUGUCGCGUCGGGAGUGAAAACCUUGGGCUUAACUCAGGGCUUGUCUUUCGAUACGGGCAGACUAGAGGUAUGCAGGGGAGACUGGAAUUCCUGGUGUAGCGGUGAAAUGCGCAGAUAUCAGGAGGAACACCGGUGGCGAAGGCGGGUCUCUGGGCCGAUAUCGACGCUGAGGAGCGAAAGCGUGGGGAGCGAACAGG
rnacentral:rRNA from 1 species